GAAACUGCAGGGCUCCCACGCAUUUAUAACUGGCAGGGCUGUGAGCGUGGGAAAGUGUGUGAGGCCCUGAAGGAAGGCUAAUUCCUCCUGUGUUUGUCCCUAAAGUCUGGAUCAGCAACACUACCAGAACAAUCCCUUCUUACCCGGCAUUCUGAAAUUCUUUCUGCAUCAGGGAUGAGGAACCUCCAGAAAGCUACCGCUAGGGGUAAUUCCAUCGUAACUGGAAAUGGUGACAGAAAUCACUCUGGAUUCCUGUCUGCAAACAGGAAAAGAAGUCAGGAUGCUGUCUUAUCCUGAGUCAUACCAUUGGUCCAUCUCAUUCAGUAUUGUCUACACUGACUGACAGCAGCUCUGUGGGCUUCAGACCUCAGGCCUCUCCGAGCACUACCUGGAGAUGCUGGGAAUUGAACCUGGGACCUUCUGCAUCCAACAUGCUCUACCACUGGGCUAUGACCCUUCCCAUUUAGAAUGUCCUUUUCUCUCAUUAUUUAUCAUUUGUGUUACUUUUUAAAAAAGAUCUCACAUACACAAAAGUCACUUUGUGCCAUGAAAUUGCAUAUUAGUAAUAGUUGCUAAAUUAAUAAAACUUGCACUAUCAAAAUUAAGGAGUCACUCCCUCUCCGAAUUAUCCCCAGUAGCUGCUGUGUUUAACAAGGUAUCAAGGCAAAGAGACUCAUUCAUUACUAAAGAAGCAAGUCAGCUCUGGGCUUUAUUGGAGUCAUUUUUAUUGGGAGAGUUUUUUCAGCCUGGAAUCAUAAAAUGGUCUGAUCAGAUAACAAAGUGCAAAAAGCUGAAUGGUGUCUGGGAUGAACCUUGAAGGACAAAGUUUAUCUGCUGGAGCAUUUCCUGUGAGCACUUUGAAAUCGGCUUCUUCAAAGCAUGAAUCAACACAGUUCGGCUCCCAACUGAUCAAACAGAUUUGCUGCUUAUCACUGUCGCCACCUCAGUCUUUCAUUUACUUUUACUUAAUAAGCAAAUACAUGUUCAGUGAACAAGAGGGUUACUUCCCAAUAGUGCUUUCUGUAAGAGCCAAAAUAGGUAGUAGUUCAUCUGUCAUCAAAUUCUCCUUGUGGCCCAAUACUGUAGUCCUUCCCUGACCUUCCAAAUACCCAGUAAGGCUGCAAUUCUAUGCAAAUCUUCCUAGAAGCCCCACUGCACACAAUGGGUCUUACUUUUAAUAGAUGUGCAUGGGAUUAUUCUGUAUUGAUAUAUGCAUAUAAAAUGCUCUGACGUCCAUUAUGCUCUAGAGUCUUUGUGGAGGCCCUUGUGGCCUGAAGUGCCUUUUACUGGUUUUGAUCCCUGCUUGAUGGAAAUAGACCAGCUGCUGUUCUCUAUGCUCUGAUAGCAUCUUAUUUGGACUGCUAUAAUAUAAAUGAGGCUGCCUACAGCUCUGAAACUAGUUAAUUGUUCAAAAUACAGCAGCCAGAUAUUAACCUUCACUGAUCAUAGGGACCACAUCAUACCAGCGUCAAAACAGGGUCCAUUACUAAGCACAAUUCAAGGUGCUGGUUAUCACCUUUAUAUCCUUAAAUGGCUUAGAACCUGGGCACUUGAAUCCAAACAUCUGGCACUCAUCCACCCUCAAUUGCUAUAACACACUAGAACAGGGACUUUUUGUUCAUAUAUUUAUGGAAUUUAUAUGCCAUCCUUCCUCCCAAAGGAGCCCAGAGUGGCAAACAAACUCUACUGAGGCCCUUCUUCAGGUUUUCCCCCUUUGAGAGAGACUCAAGGAAGAGGGUCUUUUCUGUUGUGACUCCCCAUCUGUGGAACACACUCUCUAGUGAGGUUCACCUGGUGCCCUCAUUGACAUCUUUUCAACACCAGGUAAAGACUUUUCUUUUUCCCAGCAUUUCCUGUAGGCUGAGAUGCUAUGGUUUGUAUUAGUUUGCUGCCAAAGCUUUCUGUGACUGUAUGAUGGUGAUUGUUACUUUAUUAUUUUGUUUUUGUUAUGGUAUAUUUACUUUUGUUGUUAACAGUGUUGUAAGUCGCCUGGAGACUUUCGGGUUAGAAAAUAAUAACAAAAACAAUAACAUAUUUUAAAAUCUUUUUUAAAAAUUAAAACAUCUUAAAACUUAAGUUGGCUUCAUCCUAGCUAGAUUGAUCAUUAAUAAAUGCUACCAGAAGCCCACCACUUCCACUUGAGCUUUAAAACAUUCAAGGGAGGACCAGCGGGGGUGAACAGUCACAGUUUCUGUAUUGUGAUCCUUUGUUCUGUUACAUCCCACCUCUUUUUUUGCAAAUAAAUAUCUUUUGAUUUUAAAUAUUACUUUUCAAUUAAUGUUUAACAUUUCUGUAAAUAAUGUUCAGACAACUAUUUUUGGAUGAUAUUUAACCUCAAUAACCAUAUUGCAACAAAUGUCAUUAUAUUAGAAUGUUUAUAUCAAAUAUUUCUGUGUGUAUGUAUGUAUAAUAUAAAACAUAUAUUUUGUGUGCGUAAAAGUUAUAUCCUUUUCCUAACUUAUAUUACAUAUUAUGUA